rnacentral:lncRNA from 10 species
CCAGCUUGGGCCCUAUCACUAGGCCCUUCUGACAAGACCCCUCAUGACUGUGUUCUGAUGACUGACUGACUUCUCACCUCCAGGACAGACCUACAAGAGAUGCCACUGGAUCAUGCUAAAAUAGAAUGGCACAACCUCCUGAGUGGAUUGUAACUCCCACCAAAGACCUUUGCCUCCAGUUCACUAAACAUUGACCUUCAACCCAGGAUUAGAAGCAGACAACAGCUGUUGUGGACUGCUUAAACCCAAGACACAGGACCAGGCCUGUACACAAAGAAAUGCCUAUGUUUACUGCACAAUAACCAUUACAAUUAUUGUCCUAGAUAUACUGUCAUCUGCUGUCUAAUAAAGAACAGGGCACUUGCCUUGUCUGAUUUAACACCCUUUAGUAACUAAGAUGAAUUUCACAACCUUGCUAUUAUUAAUCAUGUAUCCCUUCACCUUCUUGCCACUGCCACCCACUGAUGCCCAUGAAACAAACCUGUUUCUACAAUGGGCUCAGGAUUAUGCAGACAAAUUACAUAAGAACACCUGCUUGAUAUGCGGACUUACGCCUCUUUCCAGUGGCUCCAGCCUCCAGUGGUGGGUAUCCUCCUUCCAAGGUCAGGACUGGAUAGAAUACCAAAAAUUUAUUACAUCACAGAAACAGUUUGGUAUCCUUCAUGCUGGCAUAACAAAAGACAAUAUAUAUAGUUGGCCCAUUAAAAACACUCUUGGCCAGGCGCAGUGGCUCACGCCUGUAAUCCUAGCACUUUAGGAGGCCGAGGUGGGUGGAUCAUUUGAGAUCAGGAGUUUCAGACCAGGCCUGGUCAACAUGGUGAAACCCUGUCUCUACUAAAAAUGCAAAAAUUAGCCAGGUGUGGUGGUGCAUGCCUGUAAUCCCAGCUACUUGGCAGGCUGAGGCAGGAGAAUUGCUUGAACCCGGGAGUUGGAGGUUGCAGUGAGCUGAGAACACGCCACUGCACUCCAGCCUGGGCGAUGGAGUGAGAUUCCAUGUCAAAAUAAAUGAACAAAUAAAAACACUCUUAAGAACAAAGGACAUGGGAAAAGUUUUUCAGUGGAAAGGACCAGCUCAUUAGCUCUCACUUCAGCAUUUCCCCCAACUAAAACAAAGUGGUGACCAUGCCCCAAACAAUGGCCCGUUUUCACAAUGGAAUAAUGCAAACUUGGGAUGGAUUUAUCUGGUUCACCCCUUCGUUUGGCCAACUCAGUCAAAAUGUUCCUUUGUGCUGGGAGCAAAGAAAUCACACCCAGGACCUGUGGCCAAACAGUAGGAAGAUAUAUGGGGUGGACACCUGGAGAAUGUUGUGACCACAUUAUUGUAUUAUGAGACACUGACUGGCAUGCCACUGACUGGGUGCAGUGACCAACUAUUUAUUGGCUAGCUCCAAGUGGGACAUAUUGGCUAUGUGGCACUAACUUAUGGCUGUGGUCACCUCCAGGGUGGUUGGGAUGAU